rnacentral:tRNA from 1 species
CGGCUGGUUUGGCGAUGGUUGCGGCACUGCUGCAUGCGAUGCAGCAGACUGCGAUGAUGCGGUCGCGGUCUGUUCCAUCUCACUUAGUAGU